rnacentral:lncRNA from 1 species
GCAUUAUUUUGCAAAUAUUAAAGCAAUGUUCUUAAUUUCUACCCCUUUUAAGUCCUUGCAGCUUUUCCUCAUCAGUUGAAGCCUUGAGGUUUAUUGCUCUAGAGAAAGAAAGAGACUAGAAUAAAGAUACUAUUGAUUAGCUCUGAUUCUCAGAGCUGACCUCUUUAUGGAGACAGUGCACUUGGAAGCUAGGCUGUCAGGAGAGAGAGAUAUUUAGAUCACAAAACCCCACUUUAAGCCUGUGGACAGGUAAGGCUGGCACUGCAGAUCACAAAGCCCACAGUAUGACAGAAAGGAAGUGGAAAUCCUGCCCUUCCAUUCUGGGUGAAGAGAAGCUGUAAAAAAUGAGACAUAUGCGUUCUGCUCUCCUGCCUCUCCAUAGGGGAAGUGUGUUAGAUUUAGGGGGAUGCCUAAUCCACAUAGGAGAGGUGUGGUAGCAAUAGCGUAAAAGUUGAGCACAAAGUGUGAUUAGAUAUGACAAGGGUCUUAGUUGAGUUCUAAUAUAGCCUUGCCCACUUGACCCCAAGAUGGCACACAGAAGUCAGUUCAUAACAGGACUUGGGUCUCCGGAAACUGAGUGUGGUAUCCGUAUGGUGAGGACAAAUUGUCCAAGGACUGAAUGGAUGUCAUAGACAUCUUAGAGCCAAUAACCAAAGAGAACCACUUGGCCUUGAUCCUACAUUUAUAGACAAUAGACAACAACCUCAGCUUCUAAGGAUGAGGCAAGCAAUAGUCAUAGUAAAACAAGAGGCAUUUCCAUAAGGACCAAGGAAUCAUCCACAGCCUUGAAAAUAAAUCUGAGGGAGUGUCCCUUUCCCUUUACCACAGGAUCUCCCUCUCAAUAAACCCAGAUUCCAUGUCGGAGAGAAGCAGGUUGAGAAGAAGAAAACCAAAAUACUGGGAUUUAGACCAAAAAACAGGCAAGAAAUACUUGGAGAUUACUCGUCAAGCCUGUGUGCUCUCAUCAGCUCCUUCCCCUCCCAACCUGACCAGGAGUGCCUUUUAUAGUCCUCUGGAAGAAUUGGCUAAGAAGACAGCUGCUUCCUCAAGGGAGGAUGCCACCGCUUCUACCACACCUAGAGAAGCCUGCGUGGAUGAAACUAAGGAAGAGGCAAUCUGAGUAGGGUGGGGAAGAUGCUGCAAGCGGGGUCAUAUCUUCUUGACGUCAAGAUAAUUGUUUGAAAACUGAGAAAUCCAAUGUGGUUUCCUACGUGGUGCCAAGUAUCUCCUAUUGGCUUUCUUUUUCUGGAUUGGUAAAUAUUUUGGUGAAAUGUAGACACAACUGAUCUGAUAGUAACCUUUGCUCCAAGAAAGUACAAAAUUUGAUUAAUUUUCAUAACUUUCAUAUUAAGACAAGCACUGGAAUAUGAACCAGAAGACUACAUUCCUGCCACUUACAAAUUGUGCAACCUUGGAAUAGGAGUGUUCUUAAAUCUCUGCUUAGUCUUCACAGCUCUAAAGAUGUAACAGUGAGUAAAUAACAAGAAAGCUCUUUGAAAAGUAAAAAAGGGCUAUAAAAAUGAAAGCUUAUUAAACACCCUCAGCUUGAUUGAAAAUUAAAAAGAACACGUGUUAUUUCUUUUUAUUGUAAUAAUAAUAUCCUAAGUUAGACUUUAAGCUCUAUAUAAAAGGUCAGUACUGAACUGGCUCACCAUUGCUAUCUCCAAACACAGCACAGUGUCUGACAUAUAUAGGCUGUAUCAGUCAGGGGUCAACCAGAGAAGCAGUACUACUGUGAGUCAUGUAAAACAAAGUAGCUAGAUCUUUCCUCUGCAUCUGAUGUGGGGCCUGAGAUUGCAAUAGGCAAGCUGGAACAGUAGUUGGGAAGAACAGCUGGAUGCAAAGUGGGAGAGAACAAGGAUAGACUAGAACCAAUAUCUGUCUCUCACUACAUCCAACCCACAACACAGGUGACCUGCAAGAGAAGCUAAUCCCCAUUGACAUAGAGCUAGAAAACAGAGUGACCAGUGCAGACAAUCCAGCAAGAACUGGAGAAGCUGCAGAUCCAGGUGCUAUCCACCUGGCCACCCAGGUAGGCCAAGUAGAUUAGUGACAGCAUGCACAGGCUGCCAUCAUGCCUGGCACCAUGCACCAAAUUUCAGAGCAUACAAAAAUGGCUGGGCUUCUCUUCUGUUUCCCAAAUCUUAUGAAAAUUUCUCUUGUGGACAACCCUCACCCUGAAACAUACAGGAAAGUGAAUUCUGGAAAACAUAGUUCCAGUUUAGUGAAGCUGACUUAAUACAGAGUCACAUAUAGACACUUAAUAUGUUCUUCUUAAGUAAAUAUUUUUCAAAUUACAAACUUUUAUAAAUAUUUUAAAGUAAAAGUGAACACGUAUGAGAUUUAUAUGGAUAUGUGGAAGAUGACACAAUGUAUAGUUAUCACCAAGACUGGAGGCUGUCCACCUGAGGCAGGGCACCUGCUGCUCGGUUGUCCUGUUGGCAUCUUCUGAAGUGUGACUGGAGUGAAGAGCCAUUAUCCAAGGUGGUCGCCCAGUGACAAAAUAGAGACAUAAGAACAUUUGGUAAGUUUCAAAAUACCCUCAAAACUAAAAGUAGAGGGGAAAAUCCAAUGAGGUUUCUACUUACCAUCUCAGCAGGGGAGUCAGGCUCCACAGGCCUGGGUGCAAAGCACUCUAUCAUUUCCCAUGUCUUACAACUUCCCUCAUGUUGUGAAUUUUUUUUCCUAUUUUCCUGAAAAUUCUCAAAAUGAAAAACAAUGGGAUUUAGCUUGAUUUGAGGUUCGGGAAAUAAAAGGAAGGUUGAGAGCAAUCAACUUUUCAUUCAAUCUAAUAUCUUUUACUCUUCACUAUCAUUACAUUAUUUUUUAGACUUAUAUACAGUUCAUGGAGAUUUUCUUAUUCCUUUUAGGUUCUGACCUGACUUUUCAUUCCAUGAUGGGUAAUCCAUCAAGAAACCUAAU